GACGAACGCUGGCGGCGUGCUUAACACAUGCAAGUCGAACGGUAAGGCUCCAGCUUGCUGGGGUACACGAGUGGCGAACGGGUGAGUAACACGUGGGUGACCUGCCCUGCACUUCGGGAUAAGCCUGGGAAACUGGGUCUAAUACCGGAUAGGACCAUGGUGUGGAUACUGUGGUGGAAAGUUUUUUCGGUGUGGGAUGGGCCCGCGGCCUAUCAGCUUGUUGGUGGGGUAAUGGCCUACCAAGGCGGCGACGGGUAGCCGGCCUGAGAGGGUGGACGGCCCCAUUGGGACUGAGACACGGCCCAGACUCCUACGGGAGGCAGCAGUGGGGAAUAUUGCACAAUGGGCGGAAGCCUGAUGCAGCGACGCCGCGUGGGGGAUGACGGCCUUCGGGUUGUAAACUCCUUUCACCAUCGACGAAGGGUUUCUGACGGUAGAUGGAGAAGAAGCACCGGCUAACUACGUG
rnacentral:rRNA from 1 species